rnacentral:rRNA from 1 species
CGAUUAAGCCAUGCGAGUCGAGAGGUUUCUGACCUCGGCGUACUGCUCAGUAACACGUGGACAAUCUGCCCUGGAGAGGAGGAUAUCCCCGGGAAACUGGGAUUAAUACUCCAUAGUUCGUCUUAACUGGAAUGUUAUUCGAACGAAAGAUCCGUCGCUCCAGGAUGAGUCUGCGGCCGAUUAGGUAGUUGUUGGGGUAACGGCCCAACAAGCCUUUCAUCGGUACGGGUUGUGGGAGCAAGAGCCCGGAGAUGGAUUCUGAGACACGAAUCCAGGCCCUACGGGGCGCAGCAGGCGCGAAAACUUUACCAUGCGGGCAACCGUGAUAAGGAAACCCCGAGUGCCAGCACAGGCUGGCUGUCCGCCAGUUUAAAUAACUGGUGAAGAAAGGGCCGGGCAAGACCGGUGCCAGCCGCCGCGGUAAUACCGGCGGCUCGAGUGGUGGCCGCUAUUACUGGGCUUAAAGGGUCCGUAGCUUGAUAACUGGGUCCCUUGAGAAAUCCGCCAGCUUAACUGGCGGGCGUUCAGGGGAAACUUGUUUUCUAGGGACCGGGAGAGGUGAGGGGUACUGCCGGGGUAGGAGUGAAAUCCUGUAAUCCCGGUGGGACCACCUAUGGCGAAGGCAUCUCACCAGAACGGGUCCGACAGUGAGGGACGAAAGCUGGGGGAGCAAACCGGAUUAGAUACCCGGGUAGUCCCAGCUGUAAACUAUGUGCGUUAGGUGUGUCAGUGACCACGUGUCACUGAGGUGCCGAAGGGAAACCGUGAAACGCACCGCCUGGGGAGUACGGUCGCAAGGCUGAAACUUGAAGGAAUUGGCGG